CGCUUGUGUCUACACAAAAUAUUGUGAGUAUUCACGCACUCCCCUAUUUUCAGUUUUAUGUUUUGGGGUGGAAAAGCAUGUCCAGAAAAACUAUUAUUUGCAUGUUGUAUUUAAAUUGAUUUGUAUCAAACAUGAUUGCUAUUGUAUUGCUAUGUUUCUUUAUGUAUGUCUAUGCAACACGGAACAUGAGAACUUAUCGUACUAAGGCCCUUCCCUUAUCUCUAACCAUUAACUCUUUGAGCCAAUGGUCAUUAUGGAUAGCGCUAUUAGGAAUUGACAACUCCUCACUCGCCCGAAUCGCUGGAGUGCAUGAUACCAUAUUCAUCUAUGGAACGAUAAGCAUAGAUCUCGAUAGGGCUUCAGUCAUAGGUUUGGUUGAGACUCAUUGUUUGCUCAUACACAUACAAACUCGUUUCUCGUUAUAGCAAUAAACUUGUAUUCAUUAAUAGCAAUCAACUAUGUUUAUCAUUAAAGCAAUGUACUUGUAUUUACGAAAAGCCUUAUUUCAAGCUCGAUUUUAUAAACUUGUGAACUCACCAACUAUUUUCAUAGUUGACGCUCGUUUUACAUGCUUUUUCAGGAAAUCAUUAGUAAGUGAAUGUAAAGAUUCAUCAUCAUAGAGCAUGCUGCAUCGUGUUGAAGCUAUUAUGAAGUUAUAUUUUGAUUAAUGUUGUUUUGGAAAAACUUGUACUUUGUUUCUUUUAAGCUAUGGGUUGUAAACUUUUAAAUACUGCUAUGGUGAUGUAUCUUUAUCUUUUGCAAUGAAACCGUUAUCGCUGUCAUACCUUGCGUUUCCGCUUUAGCGGGGUGUGACAGAAGUGGUAUCAGAGCUAAAGUUAUAGAGAACAUCGGUUUUUCUUUAAGAAAACACAACCUAUAACUAAAACUUACAAAGAAAUUCUUUUUACAUCAAACAUAUUACUAGUAUAAUUAGGUCGGGAGUUGUAUUAUUGGACCUCGAUUAAACAUAGCCUGAUCACCUAUGUUUAAUUAAGAAAAGAUUUAUACAAAGCUUGAGCUAAUUAUAAUGGGAAUAUGUUCAACAAAAAUAUUUGAGAAAACUUUAUUUCAAAAUUUCAAAAGGUUAAUUUUGGUGUGUGUAAGCAUUGCAUAUUAUAGGCAUGCAUUGUCAUUUAUUUCAUAUCUCAUUGAAACUAUGUCACAGUCCACUAUGUCAAGAUCGUCAUCUUCCCGCGCUACCGCCUCAGCCGAUGAAUCCGGCUACGUCACUGUUAUCCCUCGACGUAAUCCCCCCGCCUCGAUAGAAGAAGACCCAUCAGAGGAUACGGAAGAUACUGGGAACUCGGUGGAGAUCAGCAAUGACAACGCCCCGAGUCAACGACGCGAGGCAUCACCGACAUCGGUGUUGCCACAGCCACCGCUCUAUGGACUUCGCAUUCGGAGGACAGCGAGGAAGAGUGUCCCCAUUCCAGGAAGGAUACCCGCCAGCACAGCAGGACAUGGCACGGCAGGACCUAGCGGGGUAGGACCCAGCGAUGCAGGACCAAGAGCAUCCUCACCUCAGCAAGUCAUAGGGAUACCUGUCCGACAGCCAGGUAUGACCCCGGAGGAGUCCCGGAGAUUGCAGUCGAUAGCAGCGGGCCUACGUCACAGUCUCGCUGUGAUAGCUGGGCAUCGAGAAGUUUUGGAUGAAGUCUUGGCAGGAAUGGAAAUCCUGUAUCAGCAUUCGAUGGAGACUGCUAACACUGCUAGUGCUGCUAGACGAGAGGCAGGUCAUGCGAUGACAGCAUAUUAUGUGUUUGGUGGGCUGUUCCUGAUUGUGGUGUUGAUGCUUCUUGUUGGGAUAGCGAUUGGCUUUUGGUUCUGAUUUCAGUAUUUUGUUUUAUUUUGUUUUGAAAUGAAAACCCAUGUUGGGUGUCUUUUGGGAAAAAUAUUUAAAACUUUAUUUUGGGAUUGACGUAUUGGUUUGGUUUUAAGAUUAUUUCAAAUGGUAAUGAAAAUUUUUAUUUUAUGUUUGAAAACUUUUACUAUGAGGUCAAACCCUAAAAUUUAUUUGGUAAAUGGUUGAAUAAAAGAGAUUUUUCUUUUCUUUCCUUUCUCAAAUCUAUAUGCAUAGUAUUAAUGCAACCCAUUAAUUUGACAACACUUACGGUUUUCAAAAUGGUAGUGAAAUACAUAUUAUACAUUAUUUUAUGUAUUUAUACGUAUUUCUUCUCCUGUGUCAUAGAACCAUGUCAGGAAGGCCUAAUCGCGGGCGCCCACAGAACGAAACGCCCGAUGUUGCUCAAAUGGUAGCACAACAACUCAUGCAAGCAAUCCCAAACAUUGUUACUCAAGUAACUGCAGGACUUAAUGCUAACCAAGGAAGUAGUGGAGGAAACCGGGGAAACAAUGAAAGAGAAUGCAACUACAAGUCCUUUAUGGCCUGUAAACCUAAGGAGUUCCAUGGAAAGGAAGGUGCGGUCGGGUUGCUGAAAUGGAUUGACAGCAUGGAGUCGGUCCUUCACAUUAGCAAAUGCCUCGAGCGCAACAAAGUUGAGUAUGCAUCUUGCCUAUUCCAAGAUAGGGCAUUAACCUGGUGGAAUACUCUAGUGCAAACCCGAGGCCGUACAGCAGCAUAUCAGCUAACUUGGGAAGACCUAAAGAAGCUGCUGAUAGAGGAGUAUUGUCCCAAGGAUGAACUUCAGAAACUUGAAUAUGAAUUCUGGAACCAUUCUAUGGUUGGAACACAAAUAGAGAAGUACACAGUCCGAUUUCAUGAACUAGCAAAACUAGUACCUCACAUGGUUACUCCUGAGGAGAAACGGAUAGAUCGUUACAUCUGGGGUCUGGCACCAGAGAUUCGGGGAAUGGUUACCUCAGCAAACCCAACUACCAUUCAAAGUGCAGUAAGCCUAGCAAAUCGACUAACCAAUGAUGUGAUAAGGAUGGGAGCAUCAGCAAAGGAAAGCUCUAGUAGCAAGAGGAAGCCAACAAAUCAGGGAGAGAAGAAGUAUGGAGGCAAGUCAGGGAGGAAGCAGAAAGUCUCAAGAAACUUUAUGGUAAGAGCCCAGGAGCAUGAACCAGUGAAAACUCAAGGACAAGAAGUGCAGGAGCGAAAGCAGUACUCAGGGCCGCUUCCGAAGUGCAAUAAGUGUAACUUCCAUCACAAGGGAGCUUGCCCGGUGUGCCAAAACUGUAAGCAAACAGGCCAUUACUCGAAGUAUUGUAAGGUGAAUAAGGAGGGAAAAAGGACAUGUUACGAGUGCGGGAGUACUGAUCAUCUCCGUAGAGCAUGUCCUAAACUGAACAAUGGACCUGGUAACAAUGGACAAGGCCAAGCCAGGCAAAACUUUCAAGGAAAUCAAGUUGGACAGCCAAGAGGUGUAGCCUUUGUGAUUGGUGCAGAAGAAGCUCGUCAGAACCCUGAAGUGAUAACAGGUACGUUCCUCCUGAACAACCAUUUUGCAUCAGUAAUAUUCGAUGCGGGAGCAGAUAGGAGUUUUGUUUCUUUAGCAUUUAGACCGUUAAUUGGCUUGAAAUCGGUAAAGAUGAGGAAUGCUUAUGCUAUUGAACUUGCUGAUGGGUAUGAAAUUAGGGCUAGUGAUAUAAUUCCUGGUUGUACUCUGAAUUUAGCUGAUAAACUAUUUAGCAUUGACCUAAUUCCUAUAGAGCUAGGUAGUUUUGAUGUGAUAGUAGGAAUGGAUUGGUUAUCCAAAAAUAGAGCGGACAUUGGUUGUUACGAGAAAGUCAUUAGAGUGCCUCUCCCUAAUGGAGAAACCCUUAUCAUACACGGUGAGAAACCAGGAAGAAGUUUAAACAUAGUAUCAAGCAUGAAGAUUCACAAGUACCUGAAGAAGAAUUGUAUUGCAUUCAUGGCUCACGUGCUAGAAAGAGAACCUGAAGCUAAACAACUCAAGGAGAUUCCAGUGGUUCAAAACUAUCCCGAAGUGUUUCCGGAGGAAUUGCCCGGUUCACCCCCUCACAGGCAGGUCGAAUUUCGGAUAGAAUUAAUUCCCGGAGCGGCACCGGUAGCAAAAUUGUUUCUCUGCAUGGUGUACCCCUAUCUAUCAUUUCUGAUAGAGAUAGUCGUUUUACAUCUCGAUUUUGGUGGAUGUUACAGAGGGCACUAGGAACCAAGAUAGAUUUGAGCACAGCUUACCACCCUCAGACAGAUGGGCAAACAGAGAGAACAAUACAAACAUUGGAAGACAUGCUACGAGCGUGUGUCAUUGAGUUCAAAGGAAAUUGGGAUACUCAUUUGCCUCUAAUUGAGUUUUCCUACAAUAACAGUUACCACACGAGUAUCCAAUGUGCUCCAUAUGAAGCAUUGUAUGGACGCAAGUGUCGUUCGCCCUUAUGCUGGACAGAAAUCGGAGACAGACAGUUGACUAGAGUCGAACUUAUCCAGGAAACAUCUGACAAGAUUGCUAUCAUCAAGGAUAAGCUUAAAGCUGCUAGAGAUCGUCAGAAAAGUUAUGCGGAUAAUCGUCGAAAACCAUUAGAAUUCCAAGUAGGAGACAAGGUACUUUUAAAAGUGUCGCCUUGGAAAGGGCUUGUGCGUUUUGGUAAGAAAGGAAAACUAAGCCCGAGAUAUGUUGGACCCUUUGAAAUCCUUGAAAGGAUUGGUCCGGUAGCGUAUAAACUUCAAUUGCCCCAAGAGUUAAGCGCCAUUCACGACACAUUCCACGUCUCCAACCUUAAGAAAUGUCUAGCCGACGAAACAUUGAUAGUACCCCUGGAGGAAAUUAAGAUCAAUGAUAAGCUGAGCUUCGUUGAGGAACCGAUAGAAAUCCUUGACAGGGAGGUAAAACAACUUAAGCGGAGUAAGAUCCCGAUUGUGAAAGUUCGAUGGAACUCAAAACGCGGUCCGGAGUACACCUGGGAGCGCGAGGACUACAUAAAGGAAAAGUAUCCGCAACUAUUCCCUUGCGAUGACAAGCGAUGACAUAGAAUGAAUUUCGGGACGAAAUUCUUUUUAAGUGGGGGAUACUGUGACAACUGCCAAUUCAGGUCAUUCUUGGACUCAUGCAUCUUUAUAAUAACCAUUCAUGCACAACAUGCCAUGACCUAGUAGUAUAAAUUAGGUCAAAAAUCUUGCAUAAACUAGGAUCCAACUAAGGUCUAGGACUAAUAUACUUGAUACUUACAAUUCUAGUAAGUUGCUUAGCUACAAUAGGAAAUGCCAAUACUAUAAUUAGAAUAAAGCUUCAAGCUUUGUUAUAAUUGAAAUAGGGUAUAAAACUCUAAAAAUAAAUUAAAACAUUCUAAUUAUACUUCAACAUGUUGUUGAAUAUCAAACAAUAUUCCAAAAACCCUAAAGAGCCAAAAAUCCAAAGUUAUAAAUUAUAAAGCUUAAAAACUUUAUAAAAUUUGGCUAUAAACUUCCUAAUAUCAAAUUUUAUUAAUCAAAUUAUGGAUUAUACCAAUGAACUAGAAAUAUAAAUUACAAGUAUUAAUCAUAAAUUAUUUGUUGAAAACAAGAUUUUUAAAUAAAUCAAAUUGCUUAAUAAACAUUUUAUAAAAAUGAAUGUUUUUAUAUAAAAUAUAGGAGGGAAGUUUAUAAAGUUUAAAAUUUAGGAGAGAGGAGGCCAAAAGGCAUGCAAAAACCGGCCAUCACCUCUCCCCAUGCCCUCUCUCUUCCCCAAAACACAAUCAUUAAGCCUAAACCCUCACUCCACCUCUUCCACUUCACUCUCUCACUUCACUCUCUUCACACACUUCACUCUCUUCUUCCCUCUCUCUAAACUCACGAAAAUCCUCUCAUUUCUCUGCAAAAUUUCGAGAUUGUGAAGCCCUUGAAGUGUUCUUACUUCUCUCAAGGUCAAAACCAAGGUAAACAACAACAUCUUCUUCCAUAGUUUCAUGGUUAAACCUCUUUUUCUUCUUAGUCUUCUCUACUUUUCGGAUUCUAUGCCUUUCCAUGGCUAGAAAUCUUUAUUCUCCCCUUGUGGUUUGUAGAUUCUCACCAUAACACAAUGCAUGUGUUAGAGAUGGUGAAAAUCCGGGAUCAAACCCAUGCAAGGAGUGAAAAAGAUGCACAUAUGAUCAUGUGACAUCAAAACCUAAUAUUUCAUGUUCUUCUCCAUUUCUUUUGUGUUCAUGCAUGACCAAAAGCAUUUAAACCAUUUCUAGUACAUCUUGGAUGCUCAUUCAUUCCAUGCAUGUGUUAGAAAUCGGGCCUUACCAAAGACAUGCAUGAUGUUCUUGUUGAAAUACCCUAAUAAUGCACACAAGCAAACAUGCAAUCUGCCAGAUUACUUUGUUCGACUUUGAACAGUCAUAACUCAGUCAUUUCUUAACCAAAUCAUGAUAUUCUUUUUGUAUUGGUUAGUUCCACGAAUUAACUUUCAAACCCAACUGGUCUUACUGUAAAAUAUUAAAUAUCCGAUUUUUGGCAAUUUUUACAAAAAGGUUGCGCAUACAGCUCUUUUUCUGUGAUCACUAUUUUUGUCUUGCAUAAUCAAUGGCCUUAAACCCAACCAUAAAUCUGAGGAAAAAUACCUUAGAAACUUAACAUAUCUAGUGAAUGAUGGUUGAAAUUUCGUGGCUUAAAACCUCACUGAAUGGGCUACACAAAUUCAUGAACUUCAGCCACAUUUACACUUCAUGCAUUAUUGCAUGCAACUUUUCUUAAAUUGUUUGGAAUCAUUACCCUCAUUUCUCUUCUGAAUACAUUUUUUUACAUUUUUCCUUUUGAAAGCCCUUGCAUGCAUGAGAUAAUCUGGAAAAUUUCAAGAGCUUUUGUUAUUUCUUUGAUUUAUUAGAGUUAUUGCUAAAACCAAGGGCAUAAAUCAUAUAAAAUACUUCCAGAGGUCAAUAAAUCCUAAAUAAAUUCAUGGAUGAUACUCAUGGGGAAUAAUGACCCCUCACCAAAUUUCAGAAAUUUUUGUUACUGUUUAAUACGAUUUCUAAUUUUCUUUUGUUUAGGACAUGAUAAAUUACAAAACCACCUUAGAAGAUAUGAAAAUUUUAUAUAAAAAUUUUCGCAUACCUUACCUGUGAUGGGUGACUCCAGAAAAUAAUUUCAAGAUUUUUCAUCAUGUCUUACUAUUUUUCCCAAAUUUUGGUAAUUAUAAUGGUCUAAAAAUGGGAAAAAUAGUUCUGAUUAUCCAAAAUUCAUGAAAAUUUACCAGGAUAUAAUAUUAUACAGUAGGAGGUUACAUAAAAAUUUUGAAUAUUUUUCUCUACUGUAAACUAUUUUUCUCUUAUUUUCUAAAGUUAAUUGCACUAAAAUACACUUAAAUAUACAUAAAUACCCAAAACCAGUUUAUACAUUAUGAAAACCACUUUUGAUAUUUUUCCCAGGAUAUUUAUACUGUAAAUGAUGUUACAAAAAUUUAUGGUGAUUUAUUUUAACUGUUUAAUAUUAUUUCUUUAAUUAAUGACUAUUUAAAGGAAUAAAACAAGGAAAAAUACAAAUAACCACUGAAAAAUAUCUUUUAUAUUUUUCCCAGCCUAUUUAUGUAUACUAACAAUUAAAUAAAAAGUUUGGGUAAUUUUGGAAACUGUUUUCUAUUUAUUUCAAUUUUUAUUGAAAUAAAUGCUCAAAAAUCAUAAAAUAUAAUUAAACAGCUUGGAAAUCCAUUUUUAUAUUUUUCCCAGCUUAGUAUUGUGUAAUAACAGUUAAAUAAAAAGUUUGAGAAUUUUUAUCCCUCGAAUGCUAUUUUCGUGAAUUUAUGUUGUAAUAAGGACUUAAAAAUUUGGAAAGUUUAUAUUCCAAGGUUGUAAUUAAUCGCCCGAUAUAUAGAAUUUCAUUACUUCAGAAAAAGUGUAACUAAUUGAUAUAAAAUCCAAUACUAAAACAUAAAUUGGCAUUUCCCUAUAUGUAGAGUUUAGUAUAUUAGCAUUAGAUAUCGACAUGGAAACUCACUAGUGCGUGUGUUUGAUGUCGUAGGAUCCCGGUAGUAAGACGUUGGUGCAUCCCGAAGUACCGCUUGUGCCUACACAAAACAUCGUGAGUAUUCACGCACUCCCCUAUUUUCAGUUUUAUGUUUUGGGGUGGAAAAGCAUGUCCAGAAAAACUAUUAUUUGUAUGUUGUAUUUAAAUUGAUUUGUAUCAAACACGAUUGCUAUUGUAUUGCUAUGUUUCUCUAUGUAUGUCUAUGCAACACGGAACAUGAGAACUUAUCGUACUAAGGCCCUUCCCUUAUCUCUAACCAUUAACUCUUUGAGCCAAUGGUCAUUAUGGAUAGCGCUAUUAGGAAUUGACAACUCCUCACUCGCCCGAAUCGCUGGAGUGCAUGAUACCAUAUUCAUCUAUGGAACGAUAAGCAUAGAUCUCGAUAGGGCUUCAGUCAUAGGUUUGGUUGAGACUCAUUGUUUGCUCAUACACAUACAAACGCGUUUCUCGUUAUAGCAAUAAACUUGUAUUCCUUAAUAGCAAUCAACUUUGUUUUAUCAUUAAAGCAAUGUACUUGUACUUACGAAAAGCAUUAUUGUACCCUCGAUCUAUAAACUUGUGAUACUCACCAACUAUUUUCAUAGUUGACGCUCGUUUUACAUGCUUUUUCAGGAAAUCAUUAGUAAGUGAAUGUAAAGAUUCAUCAUCAUAGAGCAUGCUGCAUCGUGUUGAAGCUAUUAUGAAGUUAUAUUUUGAUUAAUGUUGUUUUGGAAAAACUUGUACUUUGUUUCUUUUAAGCUAUGGGUUGUAAACUUUUAAAUACUGCUAUGGUGAUGUAUCUUUAUCUUUUGCAAUGAAACCGUUAUCGCUGUCAUACCUUGCGUUUCCGCUUUAGCGGGGUGUGACAAA
rnacentral:lncRNA from 1 species